rnacentral:tRNA from 1 species
UGGCUCAGUGGUUAAAGCAAUUGUUUGCUAACCAAAAUGUCGGUGGUUCAAACCCACC